GUCUCAUCUCAACUUAUUAAAAAAACAUAUGGUUUAGGUGUUUUUGGAUGAAUAUAUAGGUGAGGACCAAGGGCGAUGGUGGACUGUGCAUCGUCUUGUAGACAGCCAGCAAUUGCUUUGCAGCAGCAACAAAAUUUGGACAUGGCUUCAAAUAUUCCGAGCCAGGUAUGACCGAGUGCCUUCUCUCCCCAACCCAGGUCUCUGCGCGCAUGCAUUUUAUUGUAUUGUCAUGUGUCAAGUUAUCACGUGUAGCCUACUUGCUUUGGAGGCAAAUUGGUGACGGUUGGUUCACAGGGGAAAAGGAAAGCGGGUCAGAUUUGUUGUUGUGUGGGAAGGAGAAAAAACACAACAGAACCCAUUGAAGACGAGACGAAGAUCAAAAUUUGGAGGUAACUACGAAUUAUGUUUAAGGAAAAAAGCAUCGCGAAAAGAUAAUUGGGUCUUUGAACCCUUUUUGCUCAUCGCCGACUUCCUCACUCUUCGUCUUCCUCCCACUCACUCUGCAAACAAGAUGCCCAAAACAUCCCUUAUGAAGAUUUAGCUUGGUUCUUGCCCAUAUUCUUCUUCAAUCAAAUUCUAGGGUUACACAAUCGCCGCUUUCUGCCAGAAGCCCUCUUCUUUCAUGAGAAAAUCCUUGAGAGUUAUGAGUGGAAGUGGCCGAAAACACUCGUCAAAGUGGGAUUUGAGAGAAGAUUCCCACUUUGAAGCUGAUAGUGUACAAGACCAUAGUUGGCCUGGAAAAGAAUCAGGACCUGGUUGGAUUUCUGCUGAAAUAGCGAGUGAUGAUGGUUCCAAGUGGUCUGGUAUGGCGACUACCAAUACCGUUUCGAAAUCUACGCAAGAUUGGGGAUUGCUGUCAGAGGAGGAACCUUUACCUGGAACCAGAGCUUCGCUUAAGGAGGAUCGCCCUAAUAAAGGCUAUAAUAAAAAUAUGGACGGCACUGCUGAAUGUGAUGCUGACAAAAGCUACGACACGAGAAUGUCCCCUGAUCUAGAUGGACGGAGAAGUCAUGGCUCUAACCUGUCUGAUAGAAAUGAUUGGAUCGGGUCAGUGAGGGGUAGGAGUAGAAGCCGCAGUUGGAGUAGAAGCCCUCCUCAUGGUAAUAAGCGGGACUCGGGAUUUCACGAUAGAAACAGAAAUAGAACACGUGUUUCUACUCAAUUGUGCAGAGAUUUUACUUCUGGAAGAUGCAGGCGAGGUAAUGGUUGUCAAUUUCUUCACCAGGACGAUCAAAAUCUGGACGAUAGCUUGGAAAAUAGGAACAGGAAGGGGGGCCGAUCCUUUAGAUCAACUUCCCAUGAUUUUAAGGACCAUCCCAGAAGUGGAAGAUCAGCUGCUCAUUGUACUGACUUCGUGAAGGGAAGGUGUCAUAGGGGAGCCUCUUGCACGUUUUCUCAUGACAGUGCAUUUCAUGAAUUAUCACGAGAUUCUCCAAAUGAUAUUAGUAGAGACAGGAAAAAUGAUCAGAGUAAAGAAGCGUACUUCUCACGUGGUGAGCGUGAACCUUGCAGUAGCAGUCUUGUUAUCUGUAAAUAUUUUGCUGCUGGAUCUUGUCGUAAUGGAAAAAAUUGCAAGUAUUCUCAUCAUAGCCAGCCACGUGCAAGUCCAGAGAGGAAGUCGAGUACUGAUAAAUGGGAACAUGCCCAAUGUUCAGAUGGUAGGGAACAGUCGUGGGAUGGCUUAAAAUCGAGUGAAUUGGCUAGUGGUUCGGAUUUCACUCAGUUGAUUGAGGACAAAAAAGAACAAACUGCUAGUGAAGAGCCAAGAUAUACAUGGCCUUCAGAUCAAAAAUGUGAUCAUGGUUUGAAUAAUGAGAGCAAAACUCGGUGGGAUCGAGCUGUUGAUAUCAAGACAGUGCGAAGCAACAAGAAUGAUGCCAUUCCGAGCAAGGCAGAGAAUGCUGGUGGUUGCACAGGCAGUUCUGACCCUAGAGGUCACAGAAAGUGGCCAAGUGAUGAUAUGGAGAUGUCUCCUGAUUGGCACUACCCUGUGCAACCAUCCAAUCAUGUAGUGAAAGGCGAUUGCAACGUUAUGCAAGAUUCUGGCUCUCAAACUUCCACGGCUUUAGCCAUUAGCCAUGCGAUAGUUCAAGAGGCUCUGGCUAAGAAUCAAGACAUUGCCAUAGAGCCCAUAGUAGUUGAUAUUACUCGUUUUCAGAAAAACCAAACUUUAACGAAAGAUGAUACUAUUGCAUCAGCAUCCAAUGAUAACAUUACAAUUGACAGAACAGCUGCUUCACAUGCUGAAGGCAAUCCUUCGGGUAACGUUGGCCUUGGACAAAGAAUGGCAUAUCACAGUGACCAUCCCGACGGAACUGUAACGAAUCCGAAAAUUUCAGAUGGAAAUUUCAGAGUCAAACUGCAGAAGAAGGAUGAAAGCAUGCCAGGAAUUAAUUCUGGAACAACUGUUACUCCGAACAUAGUAACGAACGAUCAAAUUAGGCAAAUAACUGACCUUUCAGCUUCUCUUGCACAAUAUUUUGGAAAUGCGCAACCAUUGCCUCAAUUGUAUGCCUCCCUUAAUACGCAUAGUGUGUCAGAAGCACCUUCAUUCCCUUAUUCGGACGCACCCAUGGGUGCUUUGGGGGCAUCGAUGAAGACAGCUCCUGUUAUUGAAUCCUCAAAGCAACAUGAUUCUGCUCUCUGCAAUAGCCUACAGCUGAAGAAAAUUGAAGUCACUAAAACACCACAGAAGAGCACUACAGAAGUGAAGGGUGAAGUACAGAUACCAAAUUUGCCUCUAUCAUCUGGUCCUUGUGGCAUCUCUGCUGAAGAAACUCUUCAUGGGAAGCCAACGGCUGAUGGUGAUGCUAUCAAAGAGAAGAAUGGUGAUGGCGAUAACGAGAACAAAACUGGCCCAGCAACAAAUGAGGACUCUCAAAAGAUUGAUACGACAGAAAAUGCAAAUGGAAACGAUGAGGUCCAUGAUAAGAAGAAGAGUAAGGAUACGAAGGGAAUUCGUGCUUUCAAAUUUGCACUUGUGGAGUUUGUCAAGGAACUUCUAAAACCUACAUGGAAGGAAGGUCAUAUCAGCAAAGAUGUUUAUAAAACCAUAGUCAAGAAAGUGGUGGACAAAGUCACAGGCUCCUUGCAGGAUGGUCAUAUUCCUCAAACGCAGGAGAAAAUCGAUCACUAUCUUUCGUUUUCGAAAUCAAAGCUCACAAAACUUGUUCAGGUUAUGCACAUACUCAAGAUUCAACUUGUAGCUACGAUAACAUUUUGACGGGCCAUUUUUGAGAUAUUUUCAUCAGGCUACGAAUGGCGUACGUGGACAGAGUUCAGAAGACGACCUGAGAAGGCAAGGUUAUCGAAGUAAAUUCUCGUGUUUUCAUUUUCAAAAAUCAUCGCCAUGUAUUAAUUUGUUAGAAUGCUGCUGAAUGAAAUAUGUCAUGUGUUACUAGUGUAGUGUAAUGUAUCUCCCAUUAGCAGCCUUCGGAAAUUUGUUGGUCUUCUAUUUUGUGCAUUCUUCAUCUUUUAUUGUUGAAUCAAUGGCUAUCACUUUUCAAUAGCCAUAGGCCUUGCAUUC